rnacentral:rRNA from 1 species
GCUCAGGAUGAACGCUGGCGGUCUGCUUAACACAUGCAAGUCGAACGCAACCUUCGGGUUGAGUGGCGGACGGGUGAGUAACGCGUGAGAAUCUGCCUUGGGGUCGGGGACAACCACUGGAAACGGUGGCUAAUACCGGAUAAGCCUUUGGGUAAAAGAUUUAUUGCCCCAAGAGGAGCUCGCGUCUGAUUAGCUAGUUGGUGAGGUAAGAGCUCACCAAGGCAGCGAUCAGUAGCUGGUCUGAGAGGACGAUCAGCCACACUGGGACUGAGACACGGCCCAGACUCCUACGGGAGGCAGCAGUGGGGAAUUUUCCGCAAUGGGCGAAAGCCUGACGGAGCAAGACCGCGUGAGGGAGGAAGGCUCUUGGGUUGUAAACCUCUUUUCUCAGGGAAGAAGCUCUGACGGUACCUGAGGAAUCAGCCUCGGCUAACUCCGUGCCAGCAGCCGCGGUAAUACGGAGGAGGCAAGCGUUAUCCGGAAUUAUUGGGCGUAAAGCGUCCGCAGGUGGCGAUUCAAGUCUGCUGUCAAAGCACGGGGCUUAACUCCGUUAAGGCAGUGGAAACUGAAUAGCUAGAGUGCCGUAGGGGUAGAGGGAAUUCCCGGUGUAGCGGUGAAAUGCGUAGAGAUCGGGAAGAACAUCGGUGGCGAAAGCGCUCUACUGGACGGCAACUGACACUCAGGGACGAAAGCUAGGGGAGCGAAUGGGAUUAGAUACCCCAGUAGUCCUAGCUGUAAACGAUGGAUACUAGGUGUAGCUUGUAUCGACCCGAGCUGUGCCGAAGCUAACGCGUUAAGUAUCCCGC